AUUUUGGACAAUGGGCGCAAGCCUGAUCCAGCCAUGCCGCGUGAGUGAAGAAGGCCUUCGGGUUGUAAAGCUCUUUCGGCCGGGAAGAAAUCGCGCGCUCUAACAUAGCGCGUGGAUGACGGUACCGGACUAAGAAGCACCGGCUAACUACGUGCCAGCAGCCGCGGUAAUACGUAGGGUGCGAGCGUUAAUCGGAAUUACUGGGCGUAAAGCGUGCGCAGGCGGUUUUGUAAGACAGAUGUGAAAUCCCCGGGCUUAACCUGGGAACUGCGUUUGUGACUGCAAGGCUAGAGUACGGCAGAGGGGGGUGGAAUUCCUGGUGUAGCAGUGAAAUGCGUAGAGAUCAGGAGGAACACCGAUGGCGAAGGCAGCCCCCUGGGCCUGUACUGACGCUCAUGCACGAAAGCGUGGGGAGCAAACAGG
rnacentral:rRNA from 1 species